GGGGAAUCUUCCGCAAUGGGCGAAAGCCUGACGGAGCAACGCCGCGUGAGUGAUGACGGCCUUCGGGUUGUAAAGCUCUGUGAUCGGGGACGAACGGUCAGCAGACGAAUAAUCUGCUGAAUUGACGGUACCCGAAUAGCAAGCCACGGCUAACUACGUGCCAGCAGCCGCGGUAAUACGAAGGUGGCAAGCGUUGUCCGGAAUUAUUGGGCGUAAAGCGCGCGCAGGCGGCUUCUUAAGUCCAUCUUAAAAGUGCGGGGCUUAACCCCGUGAUGGGAUGGAAACUGAGAGGCUGGAGUAUCGGAGAGGAAAGUGGAAUUCCUAGUGUAGCGGUGAAAUGCGUAGAGAUUAGGAAGAACACCGGUGGCGAAGGCGACUUUCUGGACUGUAACUGACGCUGAGGCAUGAAAGCGUGGGGAGCAAAC
rnacentral:rRNA from 1 species